rnacentral:tRNA from 1 species
CAGCUUGUUAGCUCCAGGUGGUUAGAGCGCACCCCUGAUAAGGGUGGAGGUCGGUGGUUAAGUCCACCAGCCUACCA